GAUCAUUACAAUUCAGUAGCUUGCUACUGUCGGGAGGCGCUGUAAGUCCGCAUAGUUUAAUUACUGAUGAGCGGCAGGCCCUCUGUCUGUACCCUUGUCUUUUGCGCACUCAUGUUUCCUCGGCGGGCUUGCCCGCCGGUUGGACAAAACUAUAACCUUUUUAAUUUUCAAUCAGCGUCUGAAAAAACUUAAUAAUUACAACUUUCAACAACGGAUCUCUUGGUUCUGGCAUCGAUGAAGAACGCAGCGAAAUGCGAUAAGUAGUGUGAAUUGCAGAAUUCAGUGAAUCAUCGAAUCUUUGAACGCACAUUGCGCCCCUUGGUAUUCCAUGGGGCAUGCCUGUUCGAGCGUCAUUUGUACCCUCAAGCUCUGCUUGGUGUUGGGUGUUUGUCCUCUCCUUUGCGGUUGGACUCGCCUUAAAGCAAUUGGCAGCCAGUGUUUUGGUAUGGAAGCGCAGCACAUUUUGCGAUUCUAGCCGAUAAUACUUGCGUCCAUAAGCCUUUUUUCACUUUUGACCUCGGAUCAGGUAGGGAUACCCGCUGAACUUAAGCAUAUCAAUAAGCGGAGGAAAAGAAACCAACAGGGAUUGCCCUAGUAACGGCGAGUGAAGCGGCAACAGCUCAAAUUUGAAAUCUGGCUCUUUUAGAGUCCGAGUUGUAAUUUGCAGAGGGCGCUUUGGCGUUGGCAGCGGUCCAAGUUCUUUGGAACAGGACGUCACAGAGGGUGAGAAUCCCGUACGUGGUCGCUAGCCUUCGCCGUGUAAAGCCCCUUCGACGAGUCGAGUUGUUUGGGAAUGCA
rnacentral:rRNA from 1 species